rnacentral:rRNA from 1 species
GACGAACGCUGGCGGCGUGCUUAACACAUGCAAGUCGAACGAAGAGCGAUGGAAGCUUGCUUCUAUCAAUCUUAGUGGCGAACGGGUGAGUAACGCGUAAUCAACCUGCCCUUCAGAGGGGGACAACAGUUGGAAACGACUGCUAAUACCGCAUACGAUCUAAUCUCGGCAUCGAGGAUAGAUGAAAGGUGGCCCCUACAUGUAAGCUAUCACUGAAGGAGGGGAUUGCGUCUGAUUAGCUAGUUGGAGGGGUAACGGCCCACCAAGGCGAUGAUCAGUAGCCGGUCUGAGAGGAUGGACGGCCACAUUGGGACUGAGACCCGGCCCAGACUCCUACGGGAGGCAGCAGUGGGGAAUCUUCCGCAAUGGACGAAAGUCUGACGGAGCAACGCCGCGUGAGUGAUGACGGCCUUCGGGUUGUAAAGCUCUGUUAAUCGGGACGAAAGGCCUUCUUGCGAAUAGUGAGAAGGAUUGACGGUACCGGAAUAGAAAGCCACGGCUAACUACGUG